rnacentral:rRNA from 1 species
AAAUUGAAGAGUUUGAUCAUGGCUCAGAUUGAACGCUGGCGGCAGGCCUAACACAUGCAAGUCGAACGGUAACAGGAAUCAGCUUGCUGAUUUGCUGACGAGUGGCGGACGGGUGAGUAAUGUCUGGGAAACUGCCUGAUGGAGGGGGAUAACUACUGGAAACGGUAGCUAAUACCGCAUAACGUCGCAAGACCAAAGAGGGGGACCUUCGGGCCUCUUGCCAUCGGAUGUGCCCAGAUGGGAUUAGCUAGUAGGUGGGGUAACGGCUCACCUAGGCGACGAUCCCUAGCUGGUCUGAGAGGAUGACCAGCCACACUGGAACUGAGACACGGUCCAGACUCCUACGGGAGGCAGCAGUGGGGAAUAUUGCACAAUGGGCGCAAGCCUGAUGCAGCCAUGCCGCGUGUAUGAAGAAGGCCWUCGGG